UAGGUCGGCGGUGAAAUUUCGGGGCUCAACCUCGACAGUGCCGUUGAAACCGUUUCUCUUGAGUGCGGAUGAGGUAGGCGGAAUUUGUGGUGUAGCGGUGAAAUGCGUAGAUAUCACAAGGAACACCGAUUGCGGAGGCAGCUUACUAAACCGUUACUGACGCUCAUGCACGAAGGCGUGGGGAUCAAACAGGAUUAGAUACCCUGGUAGUCCACGCAGUAAACGAUGAUUACUUGCUGUUUGCGAUACACAGUAAGCGGCGUAGCGAAAGCGUUAAGUAAUCCACCUGGGGAGUACGUUCGCAAGAAUGAAACUCAAAGGAAUUGACGGGGGCCCGCACAAGCGGAGGAACAUGUGGUUUAAUUCGAUGAUACGCGAGGAACCUUACCCGGGCUUGAAAUGCAUUCGACGGGGUUGGAAACAGCCUUUCCCUUCGGGGCGGAUGCGUAGGUGCUGCAUGGUUGUCGUCAGCUCGUGCCGUGAGGUGUCGGCUUAAGUGCCAUAACGAGCGCAACCCCUGUCGUCAGUUGCCAUCGGUAUAAGCCGGGGACUCUGGCGAGACUGCCAUCGUAAGAUGCGAGGAAGGUGGGGAUGACGUCAAAUCAGCACGGCCCUUAUGUCCGGGGCGACACACGUGUUACAAUGGGCGGUACAGCGGGAAGCUACCCGGCGACGGGGAGCCGAUCCCGAAAUCCGCUCACAGUUCGGAUCGGAGUCUGCAACUCGACUCCGUGAAGUCGGAUUCGCUAGUAAUCGCGCAUCAGCCACGGCGCGGUGAAUACGUUCCCGGGCCUUGUACACACCGCCCGUCAAGCCAUGGAAGUCGGGGGUACCUGAAGUUCGUAACCCUUCGGGGAGCGACCCAGGGUAAAACCGGUGACUGGGGCUAAGUCGUAACAAGGUAACCGUA
rnacentral:rRNA from 1 species